rnacentral:rRNA from 1 species
AUUGAACGCUGGCGGCAGGCCUAACACAUGCAAGUCGAGCGGAUGAAGGGAGCUUGCUCCUGGAUUCAGCGGCGGACGGGUGAGUAAUGCCUAGGAAUCUGCCUGAUAGUGGGGGAUAACGUCCGGAAACGGGCGCUAAUACCGCAUACGUCCUGAGGGAGAAAGUGGGGGAUCUUCGGACCUCACGCUCUCAGAUGAGCCUAGGUCGGAUUAGCUAGUUGGUGGGGUAAAGGCCUACCAAGGCGACGAUCCGUAACUGGUCUGAGAGGAUGAUCAGUCACACUGGAACUGAGACACGGUCCAGACUCCUACGGGAGGCAGCAGUGGGGAAUAUUGGACAAUGGGCGAAAGCCUGAUCCAGCCAUGCCGCGUGUGUGAAGAAGGUCUUCGGAUUGUAAAGCACUUUAAGUUGGGAGGAAGGGCAGUAAGUUAAUACCUUGCUGUUUUGACGUUACCAACAGAAUAAGCACCGGCUAACUUCGUG